UGGGCUUUCUUCACGGGCUUGGCUACAGCGUUCGUUGGCUUCUUCGUGCUUGCACUCGGAAAGCGAUUCUACUUGUUCCAACCACUGGCCAACAGCCCCACUUGUCAGGGUAUCACAGGUCUGUGUUUCACUUCACCAUCAUCUACCUGUACAAAUAAAAUACAUGGCGUUCAGCAAAUGACACGACAAAAUUUAGUCGACAUAUUUUCAGGUCAUUAUAACUGCAGUUCGAAAUAGAAACCUGAAAUUUCCUGAGAGCUCGGUCGAGCUGUAUGAGGCUGAUGAUAAAGAGAGAGAUACUUCUGCAGAGGAACUUGCACACACCAACCAGUUCAGGUAUACUGCUAAAACGUAUCCAUCGUUGACAUUAAAUCUCGUGCUCUUUG
rnacentral:lncRNA from 1 species